rnacentral:pre_miRNA from 1 species
AGUAUACUCCUUCCGUCCGGUAUUAAGUGUCGCAACUUUGCCUAGAUACGCAUGUAGGGUACAUGCGUAUCUAGGCAAAGUUGCGACACUUAAUACCGGACGGAGGGAGCACUUG